rnacentral:piRNA from 1 species
UGAUUGAUGUAACCCUGAUCCUUGAGUGA